GAUGAACGCUGGCGGCGUGCCUAAUACAUGCAAGUCGAGCGAACUGAUUAGAAGCUUGCUUCUAUGACGUUAGCGGCGGACGGGUGAGUAACACGUGGGCAACCUGCCUGUAAGACUGGGAUAACUUCGGGAAACCGAAGCUAAUACCGGAUAGGACCUUCUCCUUCAUGGGAGAUGAUUGAAAGAUGGUUUCGGCUAUCACUUACAGAUGGGCCCGCGGUGCAUUAGCUAGUUGGUGAGGUAACGGCUCACCAAGGCAACGAUGCAUAGCCGACCUGAGAGGGUGAUCGGCCAAACUGGGACUGAGACACGGCCCAGACUCCUACGGGAGGCAGCAGUAGGGAAUCUUCCGCAAUGGACGAAAGUCUGACGGAGCAACGCCGCGUGAGUGAUGAAGGCUUUCGGGUCGUAAAACUCUGUUGUUAGGGAAGAACAAGUACAAGAGUAACUGCUUGUACCUUGACGGUACCUAACCAGAAAGCCACGGCUAACUACGUGCCAGCCGCCGCCGUAA
rnacentral:rRNA from 1 species